GCGCAGGUCAGCUCAGUCGGUUGAGCAUGGUGCUGAUAACACCAAGGUUGUGGGUUUGAUUCCCGUUCGGUCCC
rfam:Apaloderma vittatum contig74615, whole genome shotgun sequence.